GGCAGUGGUAGCUCAGUGGUUAAGACAUUGGACUUCUGCUCGAAAGGUUGAGAGUUCAAAAUCUCAGCAUUACCA